GGCUGCCAGCGCGACUUUCUUCUUCGACUGCACGAUUUCUUCUUCGACUGCACGAUUUCUUCUCCGGCUCCACGUGAUCUUCUUCUUCGGUCCCAAAUCAAGCACAACUCUAAGGCAGGCAUGACUCUGACUUAAGGGGCAAGCAAUCUUCUUCUCUAGUCCCAAAUCACGCACGACUCUAAGGCACACAACGCUCCGGCUUAAGGCGCACACGAUCUUCUUCUCCAGAGUUAUUUCCACGAUCCAUCGAACAAGCUCAAGUUCAGGAAAUAUGUCUACAAAUCAUAAUUGGAUGUGGCAUCAAAAUAUCUUCAUCGUGAGUUUAUUGAUGAGGUAGACUGGGGAUAUGAGGUUGAUGGAGGUGACAGCAAGGUCAGGGACGUCAGCAGAUAAAGUCUCAGCUUACACUUGCUUGGUCGAGGAUAACCCCAUUGCAAAUAUGAGGGCAUUCGAUUCCCUUUUGUCUAUAGUGACAUCGAAGGAAGGGAAAUGCUAUGCAUUUACUAGCUUUGAAGCACUGAAGGAGUUGUUCCUUUUAAGAAAAAAGAUUUGGGAUGAAUUUGAGGUGUUUGAAUGAAUGCAUAAAAGAAAACAAGGUAUUGGAGAGUUUGUGGAUAACAAAUCGGCAUGAGUUAGUGAACAAUAUAAAGAGAGACAGGAUGUUGAUGAUCAGUCUACUCAGUCUUCAUUAAAUCUCAAGUUAUGGUGUGAUGUGGUGGACGACCCAUGCAAGGGGAAGGUGUACGGAUUUGGAUGCAAUCAACACUUUAGAAGAUCAUUUAAUGGAAGUUCCAAUGAAAUGUGCUCCAAGAACAAGGAAUUAUCUCAAGAAAUUGAAGACAUGCAUACUACUAGCAAAAGGAUGGAGGAAGAAAUUACUGAAAGCAAAAAUAAAUUAGAACUCAUUGUCAAAGAAAAUAGACAGAUGGAAGAACAACUAAUCCAGGAAGGUAGACAAAGAGAAAAAAAAUCUAAAGGGGAUGGUUCGUAAAAUGAUUCAAGAGGUGGAAUAUACAAAUCAUUUAUAUCCAAGAAGAUCUGGUCCCCGUGAGCGUCGUGACAAGUGAAAUAAAGAUUAAAUUACUUUAUCUUUGAUUAAUGGUUAAAUGUAUUUAGAUGAUGUGAAUAUUUAUAUAUUUC